GAUGAACGCUGGCGGCGUGCUUAACACAUGCAAGUCGAACGGAAAGGCCACAGCUUGCUGUGGUACUCGAGUGGCGAACGGGUGAGUAACACGUGGGUGAUCUGCCCUGUACUUCGGGAUAAGCUUGGGAAACUGGGUCUAAUACCGGAUAGGAAUCACAUGUGGGUGUGUGGUUGGAAAGCUUUUGCGGUAUGGGAUGAGCUCGCGGCCUAUCAGCUUGUUGGUGGGGUAAUGGCCUACCAAGGCGUCGACGGGUAGCCGGCCUGAGAGGGUGUACGGCCACAUUGGGACUGAGAUACGGCCCAGACUCCUACGGGAGGCAGCAGUGGGGAAUAUUGCACAAUGGGCGCAAGUCUGAUGCAGCGACGCCGCGUGGGGGAUGACGGCCUUCGGGUUGUAAACUCCUUUCGUCAGGGACGAAGCGAAAGUGACGGUACCUGGAUAAGAAGCACCGGCUAACUACGUG
rnacentral:rRNA from 1 species